CCCUGUGUGAGCUCUGGCAUCUUUUUGUGGAACAGCAGCCAAGGUUGAAGAUGAAGCCAAGGGCAUCACCAAAAACUUGAAGAUGUUGAGUUUGACCAAAUAAAAAAGUCGAGGUAAGUUACAAAAGUUGACUCUAUUUUCACAUUUGGAAUAUGGCAGCAGAGGUUCACUCCUAAAUAACUAUACAGCAAUGACUAAGCAUAAUCUGAGAUGAAGGAAGCAGAAUAUGUACAUCACAGUGCAAGACAAAGUCUGAACAGCACGUGCACUCAUACCAAGAGUGGGUAUUCUAGAAAUACCGAACCCAAAAAUUAGAGAUUUCCAAAUCCUUAUAAAGGACCAAAAAAAAAAAAAAAAAA
rnacentral:lncRNA from 10 species